AAGUCGUAACAAGGUUUUCGUAGGUGAACCUGCGGAAGGAUCAUUAGUGAAACAUAAGAGUGCUCUUCAUUGAGGCUCGUUUAACUAUCCAUUACACUUGUGCAUUUUGAAUCCAAACUUUCAACCCGAAAGGGCUUGACUGUUUAACAUUUACACCCUUAUGAAUUUAUUUGAUUGAUGAUGAUGUAUAAACCAUGAAAUGAAAGAAACAA
rnacentral:misc_RNA from 1 species